rnacentral:rRNA from 1 species
GGACGAACGCUGGCGGCAUGCCUAACACAUGCAAGUCGAACGGAGUUUCUUAAAUGGAUCCCUUCGGGGUGAAGCUUUUGAAACUUAGUGGCGGACUGGUGAGUAACACGUAAGCAACCUGCCUAUCAGAGGGGAACAACAGUUAGAAAUGACUGCUAAUACCGCAUAUGCCUAAGUACCACAUGGUACAAUAGGGAAAGGAGUAAUCCGCUGAUAGAUGGGCUUGCGUCUGAUUAGAUAGUUGGUGGGGUAACGGCCUACCAAGUCGACGAUCAGUAGCCGGACUGAGAGGUUGAACGGCCACAUUGGGACUGAGAUACGGCCCAGACUCCUACGGGAGGCAGCAGUCGGGAAUAUUGCGCAAUGGAGGAAACUCUGACGCAGUGACGCCGCGUGCAGGAAGAAGGUUUUCGGAUUGUAAACUGCUUUAGACAGGGAAGAAACAAGACAGUACCUGUAGAAUAAGCUCCGGCUAACUACGUG